UAUUUUAGGGGUAUAUUCAAUAACAUAGGGUAUCCAAACACCCCCAAGAGGAGAGUUUUCGCCCGCAAUAAUGGAAAAUAAUGGAAAACAAAGGAACAUACUACUGGGUGGCCAGCAACAAAAUGUCAAUUAUAUCGCUGUUUUUGUUAACAAUCCAAUAAAAGAUGUCAUAAAGCGUAGGUCAAUCUUGUGGCGAAUGUAUUGCACAAUCAUUGCCCUCGAAUGGAGGCUGUAAUCAUGGUAAAACCAGUGACAUUGAUUAGUGAGACGCGGGAAAGAUGAAAUUCCUUGUUCCAUUCCUUGUUCCUUGAAACCCAUUUCAAUAUUUUACCCACACAACAUGGUUUAAUUUUUUAUCAAACGGAAAACGGAAGACAACCAAUUUAUAAAAUUGAUGAAUUUUCUGCCCUGAAGAAAACAUUGCGAAGAUUUAUUGGCGAACUAAUCCUUGCGCUUCUUAAAAGACAUGAAAUCAUAGAAUAUUUGGUAAAAGUGUUUGCGACAACAAACUUCAAAUUUGUCAAUGACAAAUUGGAUACCAUAAAAUCAUUAAAAUUAGGCAUAAAGCGGCAUUUAAAAAAUAAAUAUUAAAUGAAAUGUAUAAAGGAAUGAGAACUAAAUUCCCAGAGGAAUUGCAAAUAUGCCCAGAAAAUAAAACGCAUAAUAAAGGAUGGCUUUUGUGAUUAGAUGAUAUUCACAAAAUGCUAAUAUACCAUCCCUUUUAUAAAUUAUCGAUGCCUGCCGAAAUGUAGAAUGUCCGACUUACCAUAUUUUUCCACGUUGAAAGAGAAAAGAUCGCUGAUGAUGGAGGAGCUGUAUCCUUCGAAACAGUCACAAUCUCAAUGAAUUUAUUAAAAAAUUUGCAGCAGCUGAUCAAAUGGAUUUAUAAUUUUAAGUAUACCAAAUAUUUUAUAUUUUCGGUUGACCUUUUCUGCUUUUACCUUAUUAUGCAAUCAAUCCAGGAAAGAUAAAUCAUAAAAUCACCCAAUCCUGCGGGGAAU